rnacentral:rRNA from 1 species
CAGCAGCCGCGGUAAUACGUAGGGUGCGAGCGUUAAUCGGAAUUACUGGGCGUAAAGCGUGCGCAGGCGGUUCGUUAAGACAGAUGUGAAAUCCCCGGGCUUAACCUGGGAACUGCAUUUGUGACUGGCGAGCUAGAGUAUGGCAGAGGGGGGUAGAAUUCCACGUGUAGCAGUGAAAUGCGUAGAGAUGUGGAGGAAUACCGAUGGCGAAGGCAGCCCCCUGGGCCAAUACUGACGCUCAUGCACGAAAGCGUGGGGAGUAAACAGGAUUAGAUACCCCAGUAGUCCCUGUCUCUUAUAC